AGCGUGGAGACAGGUGGUGCAUGGCUGUCGUCAGCUCGUGUCGUGAGAUGUUGGGUUAAGUCCCGCAACGAGCGCAACCCUCACCCCUUGUUGCCAACAGGUAAAGCUGGGCACUCUAGGGGAACUGCCCCGGUCAACGGGGAGGAAGGCGGGGAUGACGUCAAGUCAUCAUGCCCCUUACGUCCUGGGCUACACACGUGCUACAAUGGCCGGUACAAAGGGAUGCAAGACCGCAAGGUGGAGCUAAACCCAAAAAGCCGGUCUAAGUUCAGAUUGGAGUCUGCAACCCGACUCCAUGAAGGAGGAAUCGCUAGUAAUCGCGCAUCAGCACGGCGCGGUGAAUACGUUCCCGGGCCUUGUACACACCGCCCGUCACACCACGAAAGCCGGCUGUACUCGAAGUCGCUGAG
rnacentral:rRNA from 1 species